rnacentral:rRNA from 1 species
GGGGAAUAUUGCACAAUGGGCGCAAGCCUGAUGCAGCCAUGCCGCGUGUGUGAAGAAGGCCUUCGGGUUGUAAAGCACUUUCAGUAAGGAGGAAAGGUUAGUCACUAAUAUUGGCUAGCUGUGACGUUACUUACAGAAGAAGCACCGGCUAACUCCGUGCCAGCAGCCGCGGUAAUACGGAGGGUGCGAGCGUUAAUCGGAAUUACUGGGCGUAAAGCGUACGCAGGCGGUUUGUUAAGCGAGAUGUGAAAGCCCCGGGCUCAACCUGGGAACUGCAUUUCGAACUGGCAAACUAGAGUGUGAUAGAGGGUGGUAGAAUUUCAGGUGUAGCGGUGAAAUGCGUAGAGAUCUGAAGGAAUACCGAUGGCGAAGGCAGCCACCUGGGUCAACACUGACGCUCAUGUACGAAAGCGUGGGGAGCAAACA